CACUUCCUUUCUACUUUGCCAGUUGGACUAGUGUCUUUACUGGUCAUUCAAAUGGGGCAAAGGAAAUAUCCUUUUAAAACUCAAGCCAGGAGUUCCCAUUGUGGUGCAGCGAAAACGAAU
rnacentral:snoRNA from 1 species